GGGCCUGUAGCUCAGUCGGUUAGAGCAGAGGACUCAUAAUCCUUUGGUCCACGGUUCGAGUCCGUGUGGGCCCACCA
rnacentral:tRNA from 1 species